rnacentral:rRNA from 1 species
AGAAUCAACGCUGGCGGCGUGCCUAACACAUGCAAGUCGAUCGAGAAAGUGGAGCAAUCCAUGAGUAAAGAGGCACACGGGUGAGUAACACGUGACUAACCUACCUUCGAGUGGGGAAUAACCUGGGGAAACCCGGGCUAAUACCGCAUAAUACCUACGGGUCAAAGGAGCAAUUCGCUUGAAGAGGGGGUCGCGGCAGAUUAGUUAGUUGGCGGGGUAAUGGCCCACCAAGACGAUGAUCUGUA